rnacentral:tRNA from 1 species
GCCCCAGUAGCUUAGCCCGGUCAGAUCACCUCCUUGGUAAGGAGGAGGCCGCGGGUUCAAAUCCCGCCUGGGGCUCCA